rnacentral:rRNA from 1 species
GACGAACCGUGCGAACGUUAUUCGGAAUCACUGGGCUUAAAGGGCGCGUAGGUGGUUGAUCAAGUCUGGGGUGAAAUCUUUCGGCUUAACCGGAAAAGUGCCUUGGAUACUGAUCAGCUGGAGGGAGGUAGGGGUAGUUGGAACUUCCAGUGGAGCGGUGAAAUGCGUUGAUAUUGGAAGGAACGCCGGUGGCGAAAGCGAACUGCUGGACCUCUUCUGACACUGAGGCGCGAAAGCUAGGGGAGCAAACGGG